GCAUCACUGACGAGUCCCAAACAGGACGAAACAGCUGUGUCCAGUGU
rnacentral:hammerhead_ribozyme from 1 species